AUGGCCAGCAGCACGGCCAAGCACAUGCCAGCCCUCCACUCAGGGAGCGUCCUCCCCAAUGUGGUCACCAUGCUGCUGCUCCUCUCCAUCGGCUUCGUCCUCGGCAUGGUGUGCACCGCCAACUUCCACGAGUCCUACCUCCCUCCUUUCCUGCAGCCGUUGCCAUCUCUCCUACGGUCGCCGUCACCCCCGCCGCCGGUGACAGAGUUACCCUCACAGUCGCCCUCGCCAUCACCGGAGACAGCGUGCGUCGUCGGCCCACCGCUGCCCUCUCCACCCUCGCAGCAGCCGACGCCGUCCCCGCCGGCGAUCUUGGGGUUCGCGGACUUCCUCGCGCCGAGCGGCGGCCUAAUGCACAACAUGACCGACGACGAGCUGCUCUGGAGGGCGUCCAUGGUGCCCAGGGUGGCCCGCGUGCCGUGGCGCAUCGUGCCCAAGGUGGCAUUCCUAUUCCUCGUGAGGGGGGACCUGCCGCUGCGACCGUUGUGGGAGAAGUUCUUCGCCGGACACGAGGGGCUCUACUCCAUCUACGUGCACGCGAGCCCCGCCUACACCGGCUCGCCGCCGGCAGACUCCGUCUUCUACGGCCGCAUGAUCCCAAGCCAGAACACCAGCUGGGGCGACAUGAACCUGGUGGACGCGGAGCGGCGACUGGUGGCAACGGCGCUGCUGGACCUCGCCAACGCGCGGUUCGCGCUGCUGUCGGAGUCGUGCAUCCCUCUCCUGCCCUUUCCGGCCGUCUACGCCUUCCUCACCGGCUCCAACGCCAGCUUCGUCGACAGCUACGUCGACGGCGCGCGGCACGCCCCCUUCUUCACCCAACACAACGUCAGCCUCGCGCAGUGGCGCAAGGGGUCGCAGUGGUUCGAGAUGGACCGGGCGAUCGCCGUGGUGGUCGUCGCCGAGGAGCAGUUCAUGGCCGUGUUCCGCGGCAACCACGGCGUCGCCAACAUGGAGGAGCACUACCUGCCGACACUGGUGACCCUGCUCGGCUGGGGCGCGAGCAACGCGAACCGGACCCUCACGUACGCCAAAUGGCGGGCGGGAGCCUGGCACCCAGCGAGCUACGGCGGGAGGGCCGUCACGCCGGAGCUGCUGGAGGGGAUGAGGCGAGGGAACGGGGAGUGCGGCUACCGCAGCAAAGACGGCGGCGGGGCGGUUGAGUUCUGCUUCAUGUUCGCGCGCAAGUUCUCCGGGGACGCGCUCGGCAAGCUGCUCGAGCUGGCUCCUAAGGUCAUGGGGUUCGGCUGA
rnacentral:rRNA from 1 species